GAUGAACGCUAGCUACAGGCUUAACACAUGCAAGUCGCGGGGCAGCAUGGGGUUUGCUUGCAAUCCCCGAUGGCGAACGGCGCACGGGUGAGUAACGCGUCUCCAACUUGCCUUUCACCACGGUAUAACCCGGGGGGCGUAGGACUGAUACCGUAUUUUGCCCAUUGGCGGGAUCUGGUAAGGUCGCGCGGCUUGGGGUUGAGGGGUGGGGAUGCGUCUGAUUAGUCAGGGGGCGGGCUAACGGCGCACCGGGGCUACGAUCGGUAGGGGUUCUGAGAGGAAGGGCCCUCACAGGGUAACUGAGACACUGUCCAGACUCCUACGGGAGGCAGCAGUGAGGAAUAUUGGACAAUGGGCUAAAGCCUGAACCGGCCAAGUAGCGUGCAGGAUGACGGCCCUAUGGAUUGUAAACUGCGUGUAUGCGGGGAUAAAGUGGCCCACGGGUGGGCUUUUGCAGGUAACGCAUAAAUAAGGACCGGCUAAUUCCGUG
rnacentral:rRNA from 1 species